rnacentral:rRNA from 1 species
UACGGGGGGGGCAAGCGUUGUUCGGAAUUAUUGGGCGUAAAGGGCUCGUAGGCGGUUUGUCGCGUCGGGAGUGAAAACACCGGGCUUAACUCGGUGCUUGCUUUCGAUACGGGCAGACUGGAGGUAUGCAGGGGAGAACGGAAUUCCUGGUGUAGCGGUGAAAUGCGCAGAUAUCAGGAGGAACACCGGUGGCGAGGGCGGUUCUCUGGGCAUUACCUGACGCUGAGGAGCGAAAGUGUGGGGAGCGAACAGG